rnacentral:rRNA from 1 species
AUGCCGUACGUGCUGGACGCCUGCCUGGCCCAGGACCCCGACAGCAAGGUGGCCUGCGAGACCUGCACGAAGACCAACAUGGUCAUGGUGCUGGGCAAGAUCACCACCAAGGCCACCGUCCACUAUGAGAAGAUCGUGCGCGACACCUGCCGCAGCAUCGGCUUCGUCUCCGACGACGUCGGCCUCGACGCCGACCGCUGCAGGGUGCUCGUCAACAUCGAGCAGCAGUCCCCCGACAUCGCCCAGGGCGUCCACGGGCACUUCACCAAGCGCCCCGAGGAGGUGGGCGCCGGCGACCAGGGCAUCAUGUUCGGCUACGCCACCCACGAGACCCCCGAGCUGAUGCCCCUCAGCCACGUGCUCGCCACCAAGCUCGGGGCCCGCCUCACCGAGGUCCGCAAGAACGGCACCUGCGCCUGGCUCAGGCCGGACGGCAAGACCCAGGUCACGGUCGAGUACCUGAACGAGGGUGGCGCCAUGGUCCCUGUCCGCGUGCACACCGUGCUCAUCUCCACCCAGCACGACGAGACCGUCAGCAACGACGAAAUCGCUGCGGACCUCAAGGAGCACGUCAUCAAGCCGGUGAUCCCGGGCAAGUACCUCGACGAGCGCACCAUCUUCCACCUCAACCCGUCGGGCCGCUUCGUCAUCGGCGGCCCCCACGGCGACGCCGGCCUCACCGGCCGCAAGAUCAUCAUCGACACCUACGGUGGGUGGGGAGCCCACGGCGGCGGCGCCUUCUCCGGCAAGGACCCCACCAAGGUCGACCGAAGCGGUGCCUACAUCGCCAGGCAGGCCGCCAAGAGCAUCAUUGCCAGUGGGCUCGCGCGCCGUUGCAUCGUGCAGAUCUCGUACGCCAUCGGCGUGCCUGAGCCUUUGUCUGUCUUCGUAGACUCGUACGGCACCGGGAAGGUCCCCGACGGGGAGAUCCUCGUCAAGGAGAACUUCGACUUCAGGCCCGGGAUGAUCAGCAUCAACCUCGACUUGAAGAAGGGCGGGAACAGGUUCAUCAAGACAGCCGCUUACGGUCACUUUGGGCGCGAUGACGCGACUUCACCUGGGAGGUGGUGA